GUGCUCAACUAUUUUGAAAAUUUGUUUUUUUUGAAAAUGUUACGGAGGAAACAAACAAAUAUGAGCAACAUAUAAUUUCUAUUUGCGGAAGAAACGAUCCACUAUGGCAGCGAACUUAUACUGUGGAAAUGAGUGUUUUAUCACAAUCAAUAUUAUGUUUGGUGUUAAACAGCUUCCUUGACUGUGGAACUAAUGGAGUCCUGAUAUAAGGUAUGGUGAUCUGUAUAUCUCAAGUAUAAUGUUGAAGACGAGUCAUUUGAAAAUAUCGCAGUAUUUACAUUUAAUUGAUUCUGCUAAUGCCCCCAGCAAAAACAACCCAAACUACGAUCCCCUGUACAAAGUACAUCCUGUA